rnacentral:lncRNA from 1 species
CUAAUCUAAAAGCCUGUUUGAGCCCCAUUUUUUUUAAGAAUGCAUUUUGGAAUGGUAGACUGAUGGAGAAUGUGUCGUUGAAAAAUAAGGAAAAUAUUUGGGUUUGUAUAUACUAUUAUCUUAUUGAAGAAUAUGUAUUUGAAAAAAAAAGAGAGAAAAAUGUAUUUGAAAAUAAUGGGGAACAAACAUGGGCUAAAUAAGAAAGAAGAAAAGGUAAUUAAGCCUAUUACAAGAAGAAAUCCUAUUAUAAGUAACUAACUUCUAUCCUAUUUAUAAUAAGAUUGCAUCAUAAAUCAAUGCUCAUAAAUGCAUAAUAUCACAUGUUACAUGAUGGGUUUGAUUAUACAUUCACAACAUUUACAAUCACGAGUGUGUGUUUUUUUAUAUACCAAAGUUGCAAACGACAAAAAUUAACCAUAGAACAGUUGAAUAAGUAAAAAAGCAUUAGUUGUUUGUUCUCAUUCCAGGAAUUCCAAGACCUGAGCAACAUAAACAAAUAAAUAUAACCCAAUUCAGAAAAAGUCUAAAAAAUAGAAAACUAGUCCUACAUAGGCAUUUUCCAUUUAUAUCAUGACAAAUUGGACAAAUCUAACAAACAGAGAUUCAAAUCAUAUAGUUUAGCAUCCAUCUAUUAAACAAAAUUGCAAUAAAACCAAGAGCAGCAUGCAAAAGUAAAGAAUGUACAGGCCAAAUGCAAUAGCAUAAUCAAAACUCAUUCAAUCCAUUUUCCCUGAGCCUUGAUGUGGCCAUUAAAAUCAACAAUACCCCAGAUCAAUCCAUCAUCAAAAGUUAAGGAGACUAGAGAAAACUAGCUGAUUACAAGUUCUCAAUACUUGAGUCGGAGCGGAAUUGGAAUUGAAAUUCUUAAAACAAGAAUAAAAUUGAAAAACUCAAAAAUAUAUAGAGAAUAAUUUGAUUAUAACAAAUUGGUUAACGAAAAGUAUACAAAUCCUGUGUUUAUAUAGGCAAAUAAUUUCCUAAUCUUAUCAAUAUAAGGAAACCAAACUAAAAUCCUAAAAGGAAACAAAAUCUUAAUCUAAAAGAAAGAAGAUCCUAUUCUAAUCAAGCCCAAAAAAAAAUAAAAAUAAAUAAAUAAUCCUCAGCUAUUUUAGAAAGAAGAAAAAACGAUAAAGCCUAUUACAACUGGAAAAUCUAUUAUAAAUAACUAACUUCCAUCUUGUUUAUAAUAAGAUUGUCCUACAACACGAGUAAAUUAAAAAAAUCAUAUACAGCAUCAUAAAUCAAUGUUCGUAAAUGCAUAAUAUCACAUGUUGCAUGACAGGUUGAAUUAUACACACACAACAUUUACAAUCGCCACAAAAUUGACCAUAGAACCCAGUUGAAUAAGUAAAAAGCAUUAAUUGUUUGUUCUCAAGUAUGGCACUAAUGCAGUAAAGGUUGAAUAACCAAUGAAGAAUUUCUACCGUAUUCUAACAAUAUUUCUAAACAUUCAUUUCAACCCUCAACCCGAACUCAGGUUUCCUAAAUUCAUCAAUAUUCCAAGUCACCAGCUACAAUUUUUUUUUUNN